GGCUCCUACUGAGGGCUCCCGCUGGGGGAGGCGGAGUCGGGAUCUAGCAGGGUGCAGGAGCAUCUAUAAAUACCCAGGCUCCCGAUGGCAGGGGUAGCAGCCAUGCCCAACCAGUGCCCCAGUAGGGGAGGAGAGCACAGAGCUGGACAGGAGUCUGGGGAGACAGAGCUGGGGCUUCCUGGCCCGGAAGUUCAGGGCUGGCCAGCUAGUUCCCUGAGCCCAGGCUGGACUGACUCUGCUGAGGAGCCCCAGACCUGGGUGACCUGGAAGAGACUGCUGCUGUCCCAGAACACCAGGCAGCUCACACCCACUGCAAGCCCUCCCCCCCUUCACCCCAAGCCAGCAGCUGUCUAGGAGCAAAGAAUCUCCACAUGCCGAGAGACCUCUCCAGGAAGAUCUGCAGCCUGUGCUGAGCCUCUGGUGGGCUUUUCCCAAGGGCAGAUGCUUGGGGCACCUGCACUGGCACCUCUAUCUCCUCUACCUCGGCCUCCAUCUCCUCCCUCAGCCUCCCCCUCCAUCUGAACCUCCACUUCCGCCUGUGUUUGAACCUCCACCUGCGCCUGAGCCUGCACCUGCGACUCAGCCUCCACCUCCGCCUGCGACUGCAAGUCAGCCUCCGCUUCCACCUGCGCCUGCCCCUCAGCCUCCACCUGCGCCUCAACCUCAACCUCCACCUGAACCUCCACCUCCACCUGAACCUCUGCCUCUACUGGUGCCUCAGCCUUCACUUUCACCUCCAUCUCAGCCUCCACCUGAAAUUCCACCUCCACCUGAACCUCAGCCUCCACCUGAACCUCCGCCUCCAUCUGAACCUCCGCCUCCAUCUGAACCUCCGCCUCCCCCUGAAUCUCCACCAGCGCCUCCUCCUCCACCUCCGCCUCAGUCUCCAUGUAAAUCUUCACCUCCGCCUGCCCCUGAGCCUCCAUCUCCACCUGUGCCUCCACCUGCACCUCCACUCUGCAUUGUCUUGGCCUAUACUCAGCAAACCCCACCCCCUCAGGGCUCUUGGGAACCCGCCCCAGCCCAUUCCUUCUCCCCUCCUCCCUCUUGGUUGGGAGAUAAACUGAGGCCAGAGAGGGACACUUUAGGGGGACAGACACCCCCCCCCCCAUAACCCUGGGGGAGAACAAUGUUCAUCAGUCAGAGGAGAUUGAUGGGAGGCUUUUGUGAUGCAAAUUACAGCUGGGAGGGCAGUGGGGAGGGGGAGCCCCAGGGGCUAGCACUUGGGGGGAGCUGUGAGGUUGGGGCGGGGUAGUCACCCUGCAUAUUAACCCCUGGGUGACUGAUAAAGCCAUUGGCAUAGGUUUUCCUGGCACCUGUCUCCUCUCGCUAAAGACAACCAUAUCCAAUGUGCAAAUGGCUCCCAGCAUUUCAGCGUUACCAUGUCCAGUGCUUCCACUUCCACCUCCUGUUCUCUGGAGUUCUGGGCUCCUGAGGGAGUAGUGGCAGGCCAUUUCUGCCUCCCUCCCUUUCCCCCAUUCCCUCCCAUCGCUGGGGGCACGUAGAACCUCAUUGCCCAAACUGCUUUUCUGUUGAUUGC